AAAUAACUAAUUAAGUCUUAAAAAUUUUUUAAAAGAUUUUUAUAAUAUUCUGAAAAGGAAAGGAAAAAAAAGUUAAAGAAAAGAAAAAAACUUGUUCCUUGUGUAUCAUGAUUUCUCGAAAUAAAAAAAUAUUUAAAAGUCUCGAUUUUAGAAGAUCUAUUUUAAUUUGAGAUUUUUAUUUCAACAAAAUAAAAAAAGAUAUAAUAGAAAUAAAAAAUUAACAAUUUUAAGGAUAUCUAGUUUUUUUAGAAAAAGAUUCAAUCUUAUUCAUUUUUAAAAAAAAAAUGAAAAAAUUUUAUAAGGGAUUAUCUUUAUAAAAAAUUAUUAAAAUUUAAGAUAAAAAAAACAAGGAAUAAAAUUAUCCCAUUAAUGUAAAAAUUAACCUUUUUAAAAAAAAAUUUUAUUUAACUAAUUAAUCUAUAAAAAAAAAAACGUAACCAAAUUAAAUUAUUAAUAUAAGAAAAUAAGUAAAUUUUUAAAAUAAUUUUUAGGAACUAGGCAAAUAAUUUUUCCGAAUGUUUAACAAAAACAUUGUUUCUCGAAUUUAUAAGAAAUAAAGCCUGCUCAGUGAAAUUUUUAACAGCCAUAAUUGCUAAGGUAGCAUAAUAAUUUGUCUCUUAAUUAGAGGCUAGAAUGAACGGUUAAACGAGAAAAAAACUUUCUUAAAAUUAAAAAUAAUUUUUUAUUUAAGUUAAAAGACUUAAAUGAAUUUUAAAGACGAUAAGACCCUAUAGAACUUAAAGAUUGAUAUAAAUAUAAAAAAAAUCGAAAAUUUUACUGGGGUAGUCGAAAAAAAAAAUUUUUUUUUCAAUUUAACGUUAAUAGACGAUAUUUAGAUCCUUAGAGAUAAAAAGAAAAAGUUACCUUAGGGAUAACAGAGUAAAACUUUUUGAGAGACCACAUUAAAAAAAGUAUUUGCUACCUCGAUGUUGGAUUAAGAUAAAUUUUAUUAGAAAAAAAAUAAAAAUUAGGUCUGUUCGACCUUUAAAUUCUUACAUGAUCUGAGUUAAGACCGGUGCAAGCCAGGUUGGUUUCUAUCUUAAAAUUAAGCUUUUUUAUAGUACGAAAGGACCUAAAAAAAAAAUUUUAUUU
rnacentral:rRNA from 1 species